AGGUGGCGCUAAUGCGUAUGUCAGUCGGUUCUCCAGUCGCCAUUAACGUCCGAAGAAAACGAAAAGAAACGGAAGAAGAAGGUUCAGUGGGAAAACAAUUCUGUGGGACCAAGAUGUAAGAACUUAUUUACUGUGACAAGGGGACUGCUUAACUGAAGUCAUCGUUUGAAAGACUGCUCUUCAGGCAAUACUCUCUGAAUGUUCCAACAGUCAAAGAAGUCUCAGUGCUCCAGGACCUCAGGACAGCCUGGUUCACCUGACAAUUGGAACUCAAAUCAGGGUAGCCUUUGUGCGUCUUGAAAAAUCUGAAGUGACUUGUUGUCAAGAAAGCAGUGCACAAUCCCACCAAAAUUCCAUGGAAUCCACUGUCUACAAAAAUCACAAUUGUGCACUGAAUUACAGCACCCCAUAUCCAAGGAUUUUGCAUUUAGUUUGUAUAGCAGUGACGAUCAAACAAAAAGAAAUACUGGCUUGAGUUCAUCAGCACAUGUCCUUGUUGCUAGUGUCACAAAGGAAUAUCCUCUCUUGAGAACUUCAUAAGACAGCCUUCUAACAAAAGUGGACAGCUUGUGGAAUUUUUCACUGAGACUUUAACUUCACUUUUCCUAAAAGUUUCCAAUAUACAAUCCUGGGCUGAAGCAAGGGCUGCUCCACUUCAUAGAGAGAGAGCCCAAAUGUUUUCUUUACAAGAUCAGUCUUCUUCUGUACCUGAGAACAAGGCCUUCACAUCAUCCCCAUUAAUUUGCAUCUCUCCAAAAGAGGAAUCUGCUAAUUUCAAAUCUUCCAAGAUUGAACCUAAUGUUGAUGAUUUCUCAGAGGAAAAGUGUUUUGAGAAUCAGGAAGUGGGAAAUUUCCUCUCCCGAGUUUGUGGGGAGAAGAAACAAAUCCUAGAUCAUUCAGAAGGAAAUGUUUCCACCCCUUCUCAGAAGCUCUCUCCUUCUUCUCUCAGGAAUCAGCCAGCCGAAGGUGAAGUCUUGGAAGCUAAAAAAACCAAAGGGAUGACAAAUGAUCAAAAGAAUGAACUAUCUGACUUUAUCGAGAAAGAGGUUGAGUUAAUUAGGUCGGAACAUACCGAGCAGCAAAGAUUCAGCCCUGUUCUUACUGAGCAGUGCACUACUGCAACUGGACAAGAAGAUGAAGUAAAGGAAAGCAAAGGAACUGAGUUCUCUCCCACGUCUGAAGAGAAAUGUGAUGUAUCUGCAUCAGAGGAACAUGUAGCAGAUUAUCAACGUGUCGUCUUCGACGUUGCUCCCACUUGCAUAAAUAAUGAAGCAGAGCAUCCAGUGGCUGUGACAGCAGUUUCUGGAGUCACCGUGCCAGAAAAGACUGAGAAGUACCCAGGAUUAACGGUCAGCUGCAGUUCCUCACAAGGAGAGCGUGAGAGACUCAAAGAAACCGAAGGCACUGGAGAUCAAGAUGAAAAUGUAAAAAAACAGAAGAAGACUGGAGACCAAGAGUAUUGCCAUGUUGAAUCUAAGGACACAGCUGCACUUUCCAGCCUAGAUUCAAUAACUGUUAAAACUGAGAUUGACAAUACACAAUUAGUCUCUGUGGGGGAGCAAUCGGUGUGCAGCCAAACAAGUUAUUAUAAUGUGGAGGAGGAUGCAACUGCUGUGUGUCUACAAGCAGGUUUAAGCAUAUUUCUUCCUUUGAAUAAAGUCAACAAAAGCACCCCUCCAUCUAGACCUGAAGGUGCAGAUACAUUCUCUGCUGCAGUUAGAAAUGAUCCAGAAUAUGAACAGGAUUCAGUCACUGAAGAAUCAUCAAAGCCAGACAUGCAUCUUUUAAACACAAACCAAGAGGAAGUAAGGUUUGAGGACCCUUCAUAUGAAGAUAUAAGUGAAGAUGAGAAUCCAGAAGUUGAUAAUAAUGAUGAGGAGAUGCCUUCACCUUCAUGUGAAGUGUCUGAAGCCAAUAUUACGCAGUUUGAUCCACAAUAUGAAGAUAUUUCCGACACAGAAGAUUUAUCGAAUAUGGGCACGAAUCUCCUAAACACAAAUCAAAGGGACCCUUCAAAUGAAGAUGUGAGUGAAGAUGAGAAUCCAGAAGUUGAUGAUAAUGACGAGGAGAUGCCUUCACCUUCAUGUGAAGUGUCUGAAGCCAGUAUUACACAGUUUGGACGUGUGCAGAGUCAGGCCAAGUUUGCAAAGAACCAAACACUUGGCAUAGCACAAGAUUGCUCUUGUCCAUGUUUUGUUGAAACUGAGGAUGGGUUUGAACGUUUCUUAUGUCCUAAAUGUGACAGUGAGAAACAUUUAGAUUGGCAAGCAAGCUGCUCUUUGAGCCCCCUUUCUGAUGCACAAGAUCAAGAGGAGACUGAUGAGGACGAUGAUUGGCUUGUUAUGCCUGUAAGCGUAUUAGAUGUUAAAUGGGAACCAGCAGAUGAAGGCCAGGCUGACCCAGAAACUGUUUCACAGCAUGAUGGUGAGCAUGAAGACCAGGUAAAACAAAGUGACACAAAUCCAGCUGUCUGUGAGGUACCCGGAUCUGUUCCAAACCAUGUACCAGCUUCUGCUUUUUCUAUGAUGGAGGUUUUUGACACACCUUCUCAUCUAGCAAAAGUCAUACAAUCUAGAGAGACAAUGCAACAGUCCUUCAUGGUGCCUUCUUCCUGGGGCACAACUGAGACUAAAGCUCAGAGACCACAAAAUAGGGAGUCACAUAGUGAUCCUGAUGACAGUUGUGAAACUGAAGAUAGUUCCGAUUACUCUUCUGAUUCAGGACGUAACUAUCUGACGGUGUCCAAACAGUUGUUAAAUAACCUGUCAGCGCCUGCGUCAGCAGAGAAAAAUGACUCUGGUUCUGAAAAAGAAAAUGAAGACCACGAGAUGGCAAAUUUACAACCAAGUCAAACGGGGGACAGAAGCAAGUCUUCAGAAAAGGAUGACAUCAUCAACCUUGAUUCCGACACAGAGGAUGAAGGUGUCCAAAGCUGUCCAGAGACAAAAACAAAGAGAUUAUUCUCUACGCACACAGAGAACAGUGGAGCUGCCAGCCUUAAUCAACUGAAGAAACCUCCUGAAGCCGUGGAUGGUCAAUGCAGAACUAUGAAAGGAAACUGUCAAACCAAUGGACUUAUAUCUAUAGAUUUAUCCAGAUGUUGUAAUGAAGUGAUCCAGAGUGGGAACUCUGACCUUUCACAAAGGACAGAAAAGUGUAAUAAUACUGGAUCUCACCAUGGUAUAAAAGCACAAAGCAUUUCCCAUGACCCAAGUGUUAUAGUAAUAUUUGACAGUGAUGAUGAAGAAAAACAAAGCAACAGACAGGUAAAGAGGAAAGGUGUAUUCUCUGAGUCAAUGAGUGGAGGCAGUACUUCAUGUGGAGAACAAAUGAGGGAUAUUGAAAAGAAGGGAAGUCCUAAAGCAAACAGCAGAGAGUCGAGUAUCCCUUGUGCAGAUUCACCAAAGUCACAGCAUCAGUCCAAACCUCAGCAAACACAGAUAAAAGAAAAGAAACAGGAUGUAACCUUUAGCCAAUCAGAUAGUAUAAAGAAGAGAAAACUGAUUAAAGUUAAAAUGCGUCCUGAGCGUGUUCAACAAAACAACAACAGACAGACUACUUCAAAAAUCAUGGAACAACAUUGUGAUGAUGCACAAAAUAGUCUUCGUGCCAGCCAAAAAACCCAAAUCAAUUUAUCAUCAAAGAAGGGCUCUGAGAAGCAGUCUGUGGACACGGAGGUAGACGUCACUAAAGCUCACUAUCACCACGUUCAACAAAAGGCACAAAGGCAAACCUCAGAAACGGUGCAAAGAGAAGUAGAAAAACACCUUAAUAACAAGGAAAGGGAGACUAGAGUUCUCUCGUCAGAAACGGAGGACAGCGAUGAUACCUUGAUUUAUAUACAAACCAGUCCACCGUUCAUGGACUACCGACGCAAUAACCCCCAGUCUGCGGACAAGGGAAUGGGCUCCAUUUGCCAUCAGCAUGUUGAACAAAAGGCCAGUGGACAUAUGACAUCAAAAACAGUGGACAGGCAGGUUAAACGAGACCUGAAGAAGCAGAAGAGAAAGACUAGAGUUCUCUCAUCUCAAACCGAGGACAGCGAUGAUACCUUAAUUUAUGCACAAACUAGUCCAUCCUGUUCUGAUAGCGAGGAUGACUCCACUGUGGCUCCUGUGAUUCCUCGCUUUGUUGUUCAGAAGUCUUCUUCGUCUAGUGACUCCCUUAAACUUCUAAAACAGUCUACAGUCCAAAGGCGAGGCAAAAAUGAAUCCCAGGCGACUCCAGAGACCCCUACAGAAACACGCAAGACUGACUCUAAAACGAAGAAACAACAAGGGGCUAAAGGAAAGCUUGUAUCCAAAUCAAAGCCUAUAAGUGAUGCACACCAUACAGAACCAUUGUCUAGGUCUGCGCAUAGCUCAUCUAGUUCCAGGCACUGCUCGUCCUCAUCCAAACUACAGCGAUCUCACUCUGACAGAAACUCUUCAACAUUAUAUCAGUCUCGCACUCCUACAAAGGGCCCGUCACCUUCCACAUCCAUGCAGUCAUCAGCAAAGGAACAAGUGUUCAGUGACUGGCGAAAGAGCUUUGUGCCAACCAGGAGAGACCGAAAGAGUAGUCUGGAAAGUAAUCUGAGAGCAAGGAACAAUUACGAGUCGCUAAGGGAAGCCAGAGCUGGACCAAGUCAACAUGACAAGCCACACAAACGGAGACACAGAUCUUAUGAGUCUGCACCUCUGAUGAAGAGGCCCAAGGAUGAAGCCAUACAGAUAACGAAGGCCAGACAUCAGGACGCUCCAUUAGAGCAAAGAUUUCCUCUGAGCAAAGGCUACAAGUGGAAGAAUGAAACGAGAGUCAUGGCCGACAAAAGGUGAUGCUUAACAUUUAAUAUUGACUGCAUAUAAAAGAUGGGACAAGCUUCCAGACCAGGGAAAAGGUACAGCUCCUCUCCAAGACCUCACCACUGAAGGGAAAAACGCUCUGCCAAAGAGACAUUCUGUUGUUUUUGUUAUGACUGGUUCUAUGUUUGAUUUAAUAAAGCACUUGUGUAAAACAAAGUGACGUUACAUAUAAAACUAUAAGAUGUUUUAUGUGUUGUACUUGCUGUAUUAUAUACACUCAAAAAAUACAGGAACACUGAAGUUACACACCAGACAAUCUUGAAAAUGAAAGUUGGAAAUGGGACUAAAGUCAUCAACGUUUUGAUGGGUCCAUUCCAAUUCUAAGCAAAAACUGACUUGUUCCCUUAUUUUCUGAGCAGUAUACAAACAUUAUUCUUUGUUUUCUUUGGAAACAGAAGUGCCUGUAUGAAAACCCAACAUGCAGCUGUUUACUGGAUUUGCUCUGAAUACUGUUCAUACUUGAAACUUUGUAAAUAGUUUGUUGUAUUUUUUAUCUAUUCAUUUAUAAGCUUUUUUUUCUUACUCAGAAAAUUCUAUGCACCACUUAAAAUAGCUGCGUAUUAAAAAAAAAGCCUUAUUACAAGAAGUGUUAAUAGAUUCACAAUUGUUUGCCUUCUGAAUGUCUGUUUCACUGUAUUUUAAAUGCAGUAUUAUGCUCACUCUGUUCAUGUUGCCUGUGUGAGUCCUAAACCCAUCAGAAGGUUUCAAACCGCUGACAGGUGAAAUGAAUAAAAGUUGUUACAAUGUUCUG